rnacentral:rRNA from 1 species
CGGACGGGUGAGUAACACGUGGAUAACCUACCUAUAAGACUGGGAUAACUUCGGGAAACCGGAGCUAAUACCGGAUAAUAUAUUGAACAGCAUGGUUCAAUAGUGAAAGACGGUUUUGCUGUCACUUAUAGAUGGAUCCGCGCCGCAUUAGCUAGUUGGUAAGGUAACGGCUUACCAAGGCAACGAUGCGUAGCCGACCUGAGAGGGUGAUCGGCCACACUGGAACUGAGACACGGUCCAGACUCCUACGGGAGGCAGCAGCC